AACACAUGCAAGUCGGACGGUAGNACAGAGGAGCUUGCUCUCUGGGUGACGAGUGGCGGACGGGUGAGUAAUGUCUGGGGAUCUGCCCGAUAGAGGGGGAUAACCACUGGAAACGGUGGCUAAUACCGCAUAACGUCGCAAGACCAAAGAGGGGGACCUUCGGGCCUCUCACUAUCGGAUGAACCCAGAUGGGAUUAGCUAGUAGGCGGGGUAAUGGCCCACCUAGGCGACGAUCCCUAGCUGGUCUGAGGGGAUGACCAGCCACACUGGAACUGAGACACGGUCCAGACUCUACGGGAGGCAGCAGUGGGGAAUAUUGCACAAUGGGCGCAAGCCUGAUGCAGCCAUGCCGCGUGUAUGAAGAAGGCCUUCGGGUUGUAAAGUACUUUCAGCGGGGAGGAAGGCGACGGGUUAAUAACCCUGUCGAUUGACGUUACCCGCAGAAGAAGCACCGGCUAACUCCGUGCCAGCAGCCGCGGUAAUACGGAGGGUGCAAGCGUUAAUCGGAAUUACUGGGCGUAAAGCGCACGCAGGCGGUCUGU
rnacentral:rRNA from 1 species